GUUACGUGACUAAUGACUAAAUCUGGCUCCUCGCCGUGCUCGGAUCCCAGAUCACGAAUGGAGGACGCCUAUGCCGUCGUCUACCUCGGCGUAGCUCUCGUGUCACUGCUCAUCGUGCUCGCGGGCCGCAGGCGCUGGGGCGCGCGCCGCGAUGGCGGCGACGGCCUGCGCCUGCCGCCCGGGCCGUGGCAGCUGCCGGUGAUCGGGAGCCUGCACCACCUCCUCCUCACCGGGCAGCUCCCUCACCGCGCGAUGCGCGACCUGGCGCGGCGCCACGGCCCGGCCAUGCUGCUUCGGCUCGGCGAGGUGCCCACGCUGGUGGUGUCCUCCCGGGAGGGCGCGCGCGACGUGAUGAGGGCCCACGACACGGCCUUCGCGACGCGGCCCCUGAGCGCCACCAUGCGCGUGCUCACCAACGGCGGCCGGGACAUCAUCUUCGCGCCCUACGGGGACUACUGGCGGCAGCUCCGGAAGAUCUGUGGCCUUCGUCGCGGCUCGCCGCGCGGCUCAGCAGCGCCGUGCGCCGCGCUCGGGAGUGCCGCGACACCGUGUACGGCAUCCUCGACGGCGUCGUCCAGGAGCACCUGGAGAGGAUGGGCGGCGGCGGAGGCCACGACGAGGACCUGCUCUACGUGCUGCUGAGGAUCCAGAAGGAAGGUGCGCUCCAGUUUCCGCUCGACAUGGACGUCAUCAAGUCCGUCAUCUUCGACGUAUUCGGCGCUGGCAGCGAGACAUCAGCUACAACGCUGGAGUGGGCCAUGGCGGAGCUGGUCAAGAACCCCAGGGUCAUGCAAAAGGCAACGGCGGAGCUGCGGCAAACUUUCCAUGCCCGUGGUACAGUGACUGAGCAUGCUCUAAGAGAGCUCACUUAUCUACACCUUGUCAUCCGAGAGACGUUGCGAUUACACACACCCCUACCGUUGUUGCUCCCGCGCGAGUGCCAGGAAUCAUGCCAGGUGUUGGGAUACGAUGUGCCACGUGGCACGCAAGUGAUCGUCAAUGCCUGGGCGUUGGGCCGCGAUGAGCGCUACUGGCCCGGCGUGCCUGAGGAGUUUCGACCAGAACGGUUUGAGGGGGAAGCGGCGUCGGACUUUGGGGGUGGCGACUUUGCGUUCCUUUCAUUUGGCGCUGGCCGGCGGAUGUGCCCUGGGAUGGCGUUAGGCCUCGCCAACGUGGAGCUCGCACUCGCGAGCCUGCUCUUCCACUUCGACUGGGAGUGCUCAGGGCCAAGCUCGGAGCUCGACAUGACUGAAGCAUUCGGCCUCACCGCGCGGCUUAACAACAAGCUUCUAUUGCGCCCUGUUCUCCGUGUGCUUGUUCCUAGGGUCUAGUUGAUAUAUAAACUGUAAGAAUUGGGUGCAUAUAGUAAAGUUGUAACUAUGCUCACACCGGAGUUAAACUGCAUAGCCUUCUGGUGUAGCAUAUAAUAACUGGUACAAUAAACCAAUUCUUGUAAACA